GAUGAACGCUGACAGAAUGCUUAACACAUGCAAGUCAACUUGAACUUCGGUUUGGGUGGCGGACGGGUGAGUAACGCGUAAAGAACUUGCCUCACAGAUAGGGACAACAUUUGGAAACGAAUGCUAAUACCUGAUAUUAUGAUUUUAGGGCAUCCUAGGAUUAUGAAAGCUAUAUGCACUGUGAGAGAGCUUUGCGUCCCAUUAGCUAGUUGGAGAGGUAACGGCUCACCAAGGCGAUGAUGGGUAGCCGGCCUGAGAGGGUGAUCGGCCACAAGGGGACUGAGACACGGCCCUUACUCCUACGGGAGGCAGCAGUGGGGAAUAUUGGACAAUGGACCAAGAGUCUGAUCCAGCAAUUCUGUGUGCACGAUGAAGUUUUUCGGAAUGUAAAGUGCUUUCAGUUGGGAAGAAAAAAAUGACGGUACCAACAGAAGAAGUGACGGCUAAAUACGUGCCAGCAGCCGCGGUAAUACGUAUGUCACAAGCGUUAUCCGGAUUUAUUGGGCGUAAAGCGCGUCUAGGUGGUUAUGUAAGUCUGAUGUGAAAAUGCAGGGCUCAACUCUGUAUUGCGUUGGAAACUGUGUAACUAGAGUACUGGAGAGGUAAGCGGAACUACAAGUGUGGAGGUGAAAUUCGUAGAUAUUUGUAGGAAUGCCGAUGGGGAAGCCAGCUUACUGGACAGAUACUGACGCUGAAGCGCGAAAGCGUGGGUAGCAAACAGG
rnacentral:rRNA from 1 species